UGCGAAUGGCGUGAGCGGAGGGGGGGUAUUGCGGAGGGUACGUGCGUUAAUUAGAAGUACUGGGGGUACAGCGUGCGCAGGCGGUUGAGUAAGUCAGAUGUGAAAUCCCCGAGCUCAAGCUGUGAACUGCAUUUGAGACUGCACGGAUAGUGUGUGGCAGAGGGGGGUGGAAUUCCACGUGUAGCAGUGAAAUGCGUAGGGGUGUGGAGGAACACCGAUGGCGAAGGCAGCCCCCUAGGCCAAUACUGACGCUCAUGCACGAAAGCGUGGGGAGCAAACAGGAUUAGAUACCCGAGUAGUC
rnacentral:rRNA from 1 species